GUUGAACGGAGCUGCGCCGAUUGGGUAACCAACAAUGUACCUGAAAUAUUAUAACUUCUACAUAAUCAUUCCGCGCAUAGUUUUGGUAAUUACACAAGGCCAAGCAAAUGAAAGUUUUAAUUUUUGUUUUAAUUCAACUCUUGAAGGUACGUGACCUGAUUACCAUGCAAACGACAUAAACGACAAAAACGUCGACAGCUUCUCGUUGAAUACCAUACAUAUACAUACGUCAACUUACCUAUGCAUGCACUCUAUACUGAUAUCGAUUUGGUUAUGUUCGCCAGGUUUCAGACUUAAUACAACAGUUUUGGUAACAAAAGGUGUUUCCGAAAGGAUAGAAUGCAUCAUGGAAUGUGUCAAGGAGCCAUGUUGUAGGUCAAUCAAUUACAACAAGACUUUUCAUAAUAAACCAAAUUGUGAAAUGCUACAUGACGUGAUCUACAAUACAUCCGAGAAAGCAUUGGGGAGAAACUCUUCCUAUGAUUAUGUUUAUCUGGUUAACCCACAAAAGG